rnacentral:rRNA from 1 species
CCUACGGGAGGCAGCAGUGGGGAAUUUUGGACAAUGGGGGCAACCCGUGAUCCAGCCAUUCCGCGUGAGUGAAGAAGGCCUUCGGGUUGUAAAGCUCUUUCGCAAGGGAAGAAAACUUAUGAUCGAAUAAAUCAUGAGGUUGACGGUACCUUGAUAAGAAGCACCGGCUAACUACGUGCCAGCAGCCGCGGUAAUACGUAGGGUGCGAGCGUUAAUCGGAAUUACUGGGCGUAAAGCGUGCGCAGGCGGUUUUGUAAGUCGGAUGUGAAAUCCCCGGGCUCAACCUGGGAACUGCGUUCGAAACUGCAAGGCUAGAGUGUGUCAGAGGGGGGUAGAAUUCCACGUGUAGCAGUGAAAUGCGUAGAGAUGUGGAGGAAUACCAAUGGCGAAGGCAGCCCCCUGGGAUAACGACUGACGCUCAUGCACGAAAGCGUGGGGAGCAAACAGGAUUAGGAUACCCUGGUAGUCCACGCCCUAAACGAUGUCAACUAGUUGUUGGUAGAGUAAAAUCUAUGAGUAACGUAGNUAACGCGUGAAGUUGACCACCUGGGGAUACGGUCGCGAAGNUUAAAACCUUAAAGUGAAAUUGAACGG